AAGCUAGACUCAUUCAAAGUGGCAUUCUGAGUAAUCUGAGUAUUUCAACCCUUCAACCAUUGCUCAGGACAACUAAUCUGAGUAUUUCAGAACUGAUAAGUUCAUGGGUUGCGUUUGGGAUUUUGGUGUUCUGAAAGUGAAGUUCUUCGCCUCUUGCCAAGUGUCAAGGCCGGAGAUAGUCGUUCUGGAUAUUGUUUUUUCAAUCCCAUUUGUUUUUCUUUAGUUGCAUGGAAGAUUCAAAAUCUAUCUUUAGAGUUCUGAUCAUCUCAUGAACUCCGGACGGUUUGAUUUAGGCCCCCAAAAAUUCAGAUCCAGAUUUAGUAGAAGCUCAUAACCAAUCUCCAAAUGGGUGAUCAUGAAUCUCAAAGCGGAAUAUCAUCUAAAAACAUCCAUGGUCACAAGAGCAGAAAUUGCUCCAUGGUUUAAGUAAAAAAGGACUUACGGAUCUUGCACUGAUGAAUUGUAGCAUUGGCUGCAGUAUCUAAUGUGUAUUCACAAGUAUGGAAAGAAGCGAGAAAAGAUUAUAGCACAAGUUGUUUUGGGUUUCCUCAUUUGUUCCUGGAAAUUGGAUGAAAGUUUCUGUGUCAGUUUGGUUGCCUUUUAGUGAUAAUGUCUUCUCUGGAUAUGAUGUUAAUAUU